CCUACGGGCGGCAGCAGUGAGGAAUAUUGGUCAAUGGCCGAAAGUCUGAACCAGCCAUGCCGCGUGCAGGAAGACGGCUCUAUGAGUUGUAAACUGCUUUUGUCCGAGAGUAAACGCACCUACGUGUCUCUGUCUGACAGUAUCGUACGAAUAAGGAUCGGCUAACUCCGUGCCAGCAGCCGCGGUAAUACGGAGGAUUCGAGCGUUAUCCGGAUUUAUUGGGUUUAAAGGGUGCGUAGGCGGUGGGAUAAGUUAGAGGUGAAAUCCCGAGGCUCAACUUCGGAAUUGCCUCUGAUACUGUUCGGCUAGAGAGUAGUGGCGGUAGGCGGAAUGUAUGGUGUAGCGGUGAAAUGCUUAGAGAUCAUACAGAACACCGAUUGCGAAGGCAGCUUACCAAGCCACUUCUGACGUUGAGGCACGAAAGCGUGGGGAGCAAACAGGAUUAGAUACCCUUGUAGUC
rnacentral:rRNA from 1 species